rnacentral:tRNA from 1 species
AGGGGUUUAAGUAUAAUAAAAAGCUUCUAACUUUUUUAAGGUGGUUAAAUUCCAUCAACCCCUU